UGCAGUCGAGCGGUAGAGAGAAGCUUGCUUCUCUUGAGAGCGGCGGACGGGUGAGUAAUGCCUAGGAAUCUGCCUGGUAGUGGGGGAUAACGUUCGGAAACGGACGCUAAUACCGCAUACGUCCUACGGGAGAAAGCAGGGGACCUUCGGGCCUUGCGCUAUCACAUGAGCCUAGGUCGGAUUAGCUAGUUGGUGGGGUAAUGGCUCACCAAGGCGACGAUCCGUAACUGGUCUGAGAGGAUGAUCAGUCACACUGGAACUGAGACACGGAUCCAGACUCCUACGGGAGGCAGCAGUGGGGAAUAUUGGACAAUGGGCGAAAGCCUGAUCCAGCCAUGCCGCGUGUGUGAAGAAGGUCUUCGGAUUGUAAAGCACUUUAAGUUGGGAGGAAGGGUUGUAGAUUAAUACUCUGCAAUUUUGACGUUACCGACAGAAUAAGCACCGGCUAACUCUGUGCC
rnacentral:rRNA from 1 species